AGGACUGAGUUUUGAAAUCAGUGGAAUUCGAGUAUGAUAGCUAAGGAGAUGGAGAAUACACCAGUCUGGACUACAAUCAUCAAACUAAGGGCAACCAUGCAUGGUAUCAGACAGGAGACAUGUCCAACCAUGCUGUAUACUGGUAAGAUUUCAGAUAUUCCACGUUUCUAAUUUUGACAGAAAGUAGUUUCAUUUCAAGUGUACUGUUAGAUAUCUCACGUUAGCUGGCUGGGUCUCUAGCCAACAUUAUGUGCAUGAUCUUAUUCUUCGUAUCUCAGACAUAUUUGCUUGACUAGUUAUAGCCAUAGAACCUUGUUGGUUAGCUACCUGCAGAUUCAUGCAGGGUAGGCUUGCUAACUAACGUUACGUCAUGCGUUGGGAUUCAAUGUUUACACUUCCAUUCAAAAGUUUGGGAUCACUUAGAAAUGUCCUUGCUUUUGAAAGAAAAGCUAUUUUUUGGUCUAUUAAAAUAACAUCAAAUGGAUCAGAAAUGAUGCUGUGUCUGCAUGUGCGUAUUACAAUUGUACACUUCUACAGUGUUUACCAUUCCUGCUCCUGGGACAUUAAUGAUUACACAUUGUAACUAUGCAAUAGACAAGAAACAUUCAUUUGUAAUUCAUAUAUACAGAAAAAAACUAUGCAUAUCUUAUAACUAUAUCAUAUAACUCCCUUCAUCUACAUUAAUCUGAGGACACGUCAACAAAACAAAGGAGAUGGUCGUGGACUUCAGGAAACAGCAGAGGGAGCACCCCCCUAUCCACAUCGAUGAGACAGUAAUGGAGAAGGUGGAAAGUUUUAAGUUCCUCAGCAUACACAUCACGGACAACCUGAAAUGGUCCACCCAUGCAGACAACGUGGUGAAGAAGGCGUAACAGCGCCUCUUCAACCUCAAGAGGCUGAAGAAAUUUGGCUUGUCACUGAAAACACUCAAACUUUUACAGAUGCACAAUCAAGAGCAUCCUGUCGGGCUGUAUCACUGCCUGGUACGGCAACUGCUCCGUCCACAACCAUAAGGCUCACCAGAGGGUAGUGAGGUCUGCACGACGCAUUACCGGGUGAAAACUACCUGCCCUCCAGCACACCUACACCACCCGAUUGUCACAGGAAGGCCAAAAAGAUCAUCAAGGACAACAACCAUCCGAGCAAAAGCCUGUUCACCCCACUUUCAUCCAGAAGGAGAGGUCUGUUGUCGUUCACCUUCCUCCACUACACACUGGCCUUCACCUCUGUGGUGCUGUUCUACAUCUACUACACCCAGCCUAAAGACUGCCCCGAGCUCAAGGUCUUCAUCAGCCUCAACCUCAUCUUCAGUGUCAUCAUCUCCAUCGUCUCCAUCCUGCCCAAAGUACAGACCCAGCCUGGUCUGCUCCAGGCCUCUCAUCUCCCUCUACACCAUGUAUGUCACCUGGUCCACCUUGACUAACAACCCAAGCCAGACACCACCAGCCAGGCCAUGCAGAGCAGUAUGCCAGCUGUGUGGGUGAAGAUCAGCUCCAGUUGGCUGGGCCUGGGCCUCUACCUCUACCCUGCUCACCCCUCUCAUGUUUCCCGACCGAGACUUCAGCUGAACAGCCCACCAUGGGCUUGUAAGAUGUUGUGUUGAAGUUUAUUAUUAUUAUAAUUAUACGAGUCAGAAUUUUUGCAUUGGUCUCUGUUGGUGUGUUUAAUCUUGUUUUGUUUGGGGGGGGGUUAUGAGUCUGAGUCAGUGCCCUCUUACUGAAAUAAUGUAAUAUGUACACAUCCCGAUUAAAGCUCACUGGACUGUGAAGUAUCAACCUAGCCCUUGCUCUAACUACAUAUUUCUGAACCCUGGAGGUCAGUUGUAAUACCCCCUACCUACCCCACCCUAAGGCUUAGCUCUCUACCCCAACUAUGCCUGAUUAACGUAGGGCCCACCUGAACCAUACUGUGCUGGCUCAGAUACAUUCUUUUCUCAUGAUCCUUUCCAGCAAGGUUCCAGAAACUAUGGUGGAUGCAUAUUCAGGUCAGUACAGCUCAGGCUUGGCUUGGCUCAGUUUUGCUCAGGAGUGUGAAAAUGAUACUACAGUGCCCUCAAACCCCAACCUUAGCCCAUUUAACUCUGGUGCUACACCAUGCCCUGUCCCAAAAGACAUCUGUGUCUCUACUCCAUCACUGGCCCUGUUUCUGGGUCUUCUAUAUCCAUAGUCAUUUGUCAGUCAUGGGUCAGAUACAUGCUUGUAUCUGCAGUGAGGAGACGUAUUCUGAUCCGAUACAAUCAAUCUCUUGGGAGCAGUUUCUCGGACACAGAUUAAGCAUAGUCCUGGACUAAGAAGCUAUUUCAAUGGAGAUUUUCCAUUGACAAUGGUUUUUAGUCUUGGACUAGGCUGGAAAACCGUGGCUGGAAAACCGUCCCUUGAAGUCUACAGGGAUUUAGGUGAGGAAGUGGGAUUCUGAACCUUGCACUUCUGCUCUGAGAAAUGCCCAUAUGUUGCCACGAUGUUACUGAGUCUGAUUAAUAAACUGUCAUUAGUGUACAGCUCUAUAACAAUGCAUUUCAAGAACAAUAUGUUGGUGUUUGAUAAUAUUUAUAAUGGUUAUAAUUCAAUGGGGCGGCAGGGUAGCCUAGUGGUUUGAGUGUUGGACUAGUAACCGGAAGGUUGCAAGUUCAAACCCCCGAGCUGACAAGGUACAAAUCUGUCGUUCUGCCCCUGAACAGGCAGUUAACCCACUGUUCCUAGGCCGUCAUUGAAAAUAAGAAUUUGUUCUUUCUUAACUGACUUGCCUAGUCAAAUAAAGGUAAAAAAAUUAAAUUAAAUUAAAAAAAAUGGAUAUUGCUUUCAAAUUUCAUAAUUAGGAGUUGUUUGGCAAUUCUUGCACAUUUCAUAAUUUCAUGUCAGAUUAUUUACCUCUUAUUGGAUAUGAAGUUUCCCAAUGUGACUGAAAUGAGAUCAAUGUGUUUAACUCGUGGUGAAAAGAUUGGUGUGCUUAAGAGAUGUGAAAUGUUGCUUAUGAGGUGAAAUGUUGAAAUUGGUGGUCUGUUGAAGAAUCUAUAGUAAAACAGUGCGAA
ensembl:lncRNA